rnacentral:lncRNA from 1 species
AAAAAACCUUUAUUUUUUUUUUGAAACAUAAAAAACCUUUAGAAAACCAAAGCCUCUCCUUUUUACUUUUGAGACCUUUGUUUUAAAAAAUAAAAACCCUAAACUUUUCUCCUUUCCUCCCCUAUUCGGCCGGCGCCGCCUUCAUCAGAGAUUCGGCGCGCCCAGGUCGCCGACGACACGAGCUCGACCCCAGUAAGUCUCCUCUCUCUCUCUCUCGUGUUAUUUAAAACCUUCUGUAAAGAAAAGAACGAAAAGAAGUAAUAAGGGAAUAACUGCGAAAACGAAAGAAAAAAGUGGAAAACAACCUUUUAAGCUUUGAAUAUGAUUUCUGAUUGCUAUUGAUUUUCUCUGUGUUUUUUUGUUAUAUUUGUAUAUAUCAAAAAAAAAAGAUCUAUUUACAUUCGGUUUGAUUCGGUUUUAUAGCCGAAUGGAAAAACAAAAACUUCUUUGCUGCUCCUUUUGCGCUUGUUUGCUGGUUCGUGACUAAGCACGUCUCUGACGUGUCAUAGUGGAGGAGCAUACAACACGGAGGUGGCGUUUGGUGCACGAGGGAGGCGUGCGGCGGCUGAGACCUUUAGGUGACUAGGGUUUUUCAAAAAUGUUAAAGUUUUGGGCUGGAAUUGUGGACUAGGGUUAGGUGUUUGGAUUGGGUUUCAGGUUUAGGCCUAUUGUAAUUGGGUUUGAGUGUAUUUAUUUUUGUUUGUAUGUUUAGUUUUAAAAUGGUUUGGGCCGGGCAAUUUUGGGCCAUAACACCUAUUAUGAUAGUAAAUAAUAACAUGUAAUUAUCCUUAUUAUAUAUGUGAUGACCAUAUUUUCCAACAUGGAGAGAAAUUAAGGGUAGUUUUAGGCAUUGUAUCAAAAAGAACUAAUAUUAUAAGAAUCUAUAAUGAAAUUAAUAUUCAAAAUAAUAAUAAUGUAUAAAUAUGAUGAAUAAAUAGUUCGUCAUUUGGUAGGUAGAUUGCUAAUCAUAUAAUAAACAUAUAUUAUUUUAUUUAGUUAAACUUCUAAACAAGUGAAACAUAAAUGUUAUUCUAUAGAAUAUCAAUUUUGCCCUUAAUGAAAGAUUAGUUGUUAAAAUAUUGACUUCUUUUUAAUAGUUGAAAAUUAAUUUUUUCUAAAAUAACUAUUUUCACUAUUUACCAAAAAAAAGUAAAUAAUUUUUUUUUGAAAAAUGCGAUUGGAUUUUAUUGAAAACUAAACAAAUAAACAAAAUUAAAAACUCCUUUACAACUAUGAGAUUAAGGCCCGAAUAAAGAAAACAAAUAUAAGAAGAAACAACCCAAAAAAACAUAAAAGGCCCAAGAGAAACAAAAAACAUAAAGAAUAAACGAAAUAAAAAAAUGGGAACCUAACCCAGUCACUAUCAAAACAGCUAGUAGCCACUAACUUUUUGUCUUUUCAAAUCUCUAUACCAGCUUACCAACCGAUAGCAAGUUCCAAGAAAAUCUUUCAUUGCUGCUACCCUUAUCUUUUCAUAUCUUCUUUGGAGAUUUCUCAAUCCGGUUGCCUUGGCCUUCUCCCUUCUCGGUCGUGUUAGAGAUGAACGAGAUUUGCUCUCUCUAGGUAUUUUUCUUCUUGCUUCCUUAAUGCUUCUCUUACCAGAUUAUAAGCAAAGCCAUUUCCAGAUCUUUGAACAAACUGGAAGUUGAUUUCUUGAAAAAAAGGCUUUUUGCUGUAAAUGUCUCGGAUAAUCGCCCUUAGUACGGAUUUGUCUGUCGUUGCUGAUUUACAUUUCUUUAUGACCGAUUUUGAAUCUCCUACAAUGUCUACUGUUUGAAACCCUAAGAAAAUUCCUAACUUCACUUCUUGUAAACUUGCAUAUGCCUCUGCCAUCAACGGAGACGAUAUUUCGAGAUGAAAGGUCGUCUUCAAAGCUAAGAGUUCACCUGUCAUCCCCCACACCACCAUUCCCUAAGCCGAUCUAGAAGAUUCACCAUCAAAGGCUGUAUCAAAAUAGAUAGUUACUCUCUCGCUUCUCUCUCCCUGUCUCUGUCCACGACCAACAACUAAGGUAAGUGCCUUUUCUUCCAACCCGUCAAUCUCUGCUAUAUAGCUUUGGAUUUAGUUUGACAACUCCCUUCCUGUUGUUAUUUUUCACUCAUGGACGAACUGGUUAAUUGAGUUCCAGAUUAUCCAAACGGUACAACAUAAUAGACGACAUUGUUUGCUGCUACUGAUAGUGAAGACCCAGGUCAGCCAUUCCCACAUAUCUUGAAUAUUAGUAUUAAUAACCCAUGAAAAAUUAAGAAGUUGCCAUGUCUCUGUAAUUGUAGGGCAUUGUAGAAAAACAUGGAUACCAUCUUCUUCCGCAUUAUGACAGCGAGGACAGAAGCUGUUUGCAACCACUCUCUUGGGUCUGAGAUUCGAUAGAGUAGGAAUAAAAUUCCAUAAGAUUCGCCAUAUAGUAAUAGUAAUUUUUUAUGGGAGAUGUAAAUUCCAUAGCUUUUUAUAGAAAUUUUUUGUUUCAGCCUGUAAUAAAUAAGAACUAGGAUCCAUACUAGCCUCUUGUAAUAGUUUAUAGGCACUUCGGACUGAAAAUUCGCCGGAAUGUUCUUCUCGCCAGACUUGAAAGUCAUCACGUGCUUCUUUUGCCAAAGGAAUUUGCAGAAUUUUUUGUACUAUGUCCGCUCGAAAGGUAGUAGCUAUAAGAUCCCAUUUCUAUUUCUUGUUGAAACAUCAAUUAAGUCUGAAACUAACACCGCCCUUUUCCAUUUUCUUGUUGAAACAUCAAUUAAGUCUGAAACUAACUCUGCUUCGGUGUUGUUGGGAUCGACAUUAGUUCCACCGAUAUCAACUCCCGGUACCCACCGAUCGCUCCAGAUAGAAAUUUAGUCUCUCCUACCAACACGCCAGCAUAAGCCAUCUUUCAGUAACCCUUUUGCUGCCCAAAUGCUCUUCCAGGUAAGUGAAGGUAAAUUUUCUAAUUGUGUUUUAAGAAAGUCUGAAUUUGGGAAGUAUUUGGCUUUUAAAACCUGAGCUAAUAAAGAAUUUGGAAAAUUAAUAAGGCACCUACCUUGCUUGGCUAAUAAAGCAAUAUUAAACCGACUAAGAUCACGAAAUCCCAAACCACCCAUGUCUUUUGCUGUAAAGGUCCUUCCAAGUACACCAAUGAAUGCCCCUCUUGCCUCGAUCCUUUUACCACCAAAACUUCGCAAUAAUACCCUCAAGUUUAGCACACAAAGAUUUUGAUAGUAAAAAACAAGUCAUUGUAUAUGUCGGUAUAACCUGAAGAAUGGCUUUAAUAAAAACUUCUUUCCCACCUUGAGAGAGAUGACGGAUACUUCAAUUCUCAAUUUGCUUCUUAAGUCUAUCUUUCAAAUUUUGAAACGAUUCUUUCUUCUUUCUACCCACUAUAUUAGGUAGACCAAGAUAACGUUCUGGAUCAUUUGCGCUUCAGACUCCUAGUAUGCGAGUAACCGAUUGUUUGUCUUCCUCUUGUGCGUUAGUGCUAAAGAAAACAGUCGACUUAUCAAAAUUGACGUACUGCCUCGAACAGGCUUCAUACUUACGUAAAAUUUUCUUCAAAAGAUAGGCCCCCUCUCUCUGUAGCUUAUCCAAACGAAAUGCAGUCUGCAAAUAAAAGAUCUGAUACUUAUGGCCCCAUUCUACUAGCUUUAAUCCCUUUUAAAUGACCUUGAAGUGCAAGUCUCAUAAGACAAGAUAAGCCUUCUCCAUUGAUCAGAAACAAAAACAGACUUAAAGGAUCUCCUUGCCGUAAAACCCUUUUUGGCUGAAAAUUUCCCCAACUUGGCCAUUAAAAACCACCGAGUAAGAGACAGUAGAGAUGCACUUCAUAAUGGAAUUAAUCUACGUAGAAUCAAAACUCAUUUUCGUCAUCAUCUCCUGUACAAAAAUUUCAUUCUACUCUAUCAUAUGCUUUACUCAUAUCAAGUUUAACCGCCAUCUCUCUUUUUCCUAAUUUUUUUCCAUUUUACGUACGCCAGCAAAUCAUUAUCUGAAAUUAAUCGUCCUGGCACAAAAGCACUUUGUGCAUCAUCAAUACAUUUUUCCAAGACUUCUCGAAAUCUAUUAGCGUUAUUUAAUAAAUAACAUUGCAUAAGCUAAUGGGACGAAAGUGAGUAAUAUUAGUCGGGUUGGCUUUUUUAGGAAUAAGAACAAUGUGAGUCGUAUUUAUUGGACUAAACUCCAUAUCUCCGUUAAGAAAUUGAAGAUAGAAAAGUGCAACCUCUUCCCCAAUGAUGUACCAGUAUUUCUGAAAAAAUAAGGCCGGAAAUCCAUCUUCACCCGGUGCUUUUGUAGGCCCCAUUCCAAAGAGCGCCUCUUAAAUUUCUUCUUUUGUAUAUUGAGCCUUGAGCUUGUGAUUAUCCUUAUCGGAAAUACAAUACCCAAUUUCCGAUAAAAGAUGUUCAUUAUGUCUCUUUCCCCAGCCUCAAAUAAAUCAUGGAAAUAGGACCUAGCAAUUGCUGCCAUUUCUUGGAUAUCAUCUGUUUCUCUGCCAUCUAUGUUCUACAGCUUCUGAAUACAAUUUUUUCUAACAAAAAUGUAUUCCAACUUAACAUAUCAUUGUUUUGUUAAACUAAUAUUUUGUUUAAAAAAAUACGUUAAAAAUUUUAUCAGAGUAAUUAACAAAAAUUUUAAUACAAUUUUGUUAGAAAUUUUAUUAUUUAAAACUUAUUCUAACUUAACAUAUCAUUGUUUUGUUAAACUAAUUUUUUGUUUAAAAAAACACGUCAAAAAUUUUAUCAGAGUAAUUAAUAAUAUUAAUUAUUUGGAAAAAAAUUAUAAAAAAUAGAACCAAAUAUUAUUGUAGAAAUUCAAGUAUAAAGAUUAAAUUUUAAUUUUAGGGCUAGUAGAAGGACCAAAAGUGAUAUAAGACUAAUUUUUUGUAAAAUGCAAAGAAAGAAAAGGGAAAUGUGCAGGGUGUUGUGCCUACUUGUCAAGCACGACUAGUCGUGCCUACCUGACAAACUCGACCCGUUUCGGGUAUUUUUUAUCCGUGUAAAACCCGUAUUUUUUAUCUAUAUAUUAAUAUAAAUAUUAAAAAUAAUAUAAUAAUAAUUUUUUAAAACAAAAAAAAAUUAAUAAUAAGAGAAUGGGUUGUGCCUGUCAGGUAGGCACGACCUCAAAAAGUAUACAAUUUUCGUAAUUAAUCUAGCUGACAACUCAUUUUGGUAUAUAAAUUUUUUUUUUAUAAUAUUAGGGUAAAAAACCCUAAUUAAAAGCUGCUAAAAUAACCCUACAUGUUUGGAUUUUACUAAGGGCCGUUCUUUCAAGGACCAUGAAGACAACAAAUAACAAUUAGACCUACCAAUUAGAAGAUAAAUGAAGUAAUAAAAAAAUUUCUCAACAAAAUAUUUUAAUUUUACUGGUAAAUUUCAAAUAUUGUCACAUGCUUGAAAUUUCUUUUUUUUUUUUUAGUAAUAAUGGAUUGAAUCUAAACCUUCAUGAUGUCUGGAGAAUUGUUUUUAAAAUUAUUUUUUUAAAAAAGUUAUUAUUUAAUGUAAACUUAAACUAAUUUUUUUAUUAAAUUAUUUUUUUCAAAAAUUAUAUAAUAAUUCAAAAGGUAAACUAUAAAAAUAGUCACUUUUGUUUGCCUCAUAUUACAUUUUAGUCACUUAGGUUUGAAAUGUUACGUUUUAGUCACUUACGUUAUCUUUUUGUUACGAAGUGGUCACUUUACCAUUAGACUUCGUUACCUUCCUAACAGCAAUCUUAUGUGACAGUCCAAAUGGGUUUUAAAUACCAAUUUGGAUGUCCUACAUGACAGUCCAAAUUAAAUUUAUUUAAUUAAAAAUCUAUUUUAAUCCUAGUAACUGGAUAUCUAAGUUGGCAUUUAAAACUCAUUUAGAUUACCAUAUAAGAUUAUCUUUAAGGAGGUAACAGAGUUUAAUGGUAGAAUGACCGCUUCAUAACAAAACGAUAAUACAAGUGACUAAAACGUAAUAUUUUAAAUAUAAAUGAUUAAAAUAUAAUUUAAGAUUAACAAAAAUGACUAUUUUUUAUCUAGUUAAACAGAAUAAAGAACAGCCUACAUACUAAACACAUUCUUAUAUUUUAGACUUGUUUAUAAUAUAGAAAUGGGUUGGCUUGGACAUACAAAAACUUGUCUUGUGAAACAAUAUAUGACCAAGAAAGUCAAGAAGCAGCAAGAUUUUGAAGCCCAAGGAAGUGAAGUAAUUAAUUUCCAAAAACAUCAAGGACCCAAUUUUGUGGUUGGGUGGUCAACUUCCUCAACUAAAGCUACCAAAUUUACAUAAAUAAAAUAAGUUGGUGUUCUUUUUUUUUUUUUUUUUGUGGUCAUCAACUCUUUAUUCAUAUUAUUUCAUAUUGAAUAAUGAUGGCAUGAACAAAGAAAGAUGUUAAGAUCAGAAUCAUAGUGCAUUGGUGGGGAUUUGAAGGAGAAUCCAAGGUGAAUUUUUCUCAUCUAUAUAUUAUCAUAAAAUAUUAUGAAUUUGUAAUUUUACAUUAUCUUUAUUUAUUUUCAAUUGAAAAUGAUAAAUCCGAUUUUUUCUCUUGAUUUUUGAUCUUUACCUCUUGAAUAAAAAUUUAAAUCCAACUAAAAAUAUUAAAAAUUAGGAGGAAAAAUUUAAUUUUUUUCAUUCUUCUAUUGAAAAGAGAUAUAAAUGAGGUAAAAUUAUAGUUUCAUUCAAUUCAUUCUCAUAAAAUAUAGAAAUUGUGUCCUUCCUGAAUUUUAAUUUUGACAAUUAUGAUUUUUAAUAUAAAUAAUUUGUACUAUAAUUAUAUGGUCCUCAAGAAACUCUCUAAAAAUAUAUAUAAAAAUUAGAUCAACACAACAUCAAGACCACAUUUUUAGUAAAUAGAGUCGGUUUGACUUUUUUUAAUAAAAAAUAUUUUAUUUAUUUAAUAGAUAUUAAUAUUAGGGUUAGUAUUUUGGUAUACUAACGGUAUAUUUUUUAUUUCACAAGUAAUUUUUAAAAAAUUAUCGUGUGUUCUUAUUUCUUUAAAAUAUACAUUUUUUAAUAUUUUACUAUACUUUUAUAAGACAUUGGUUAACCUCUUGACUAGAGGCAAAGUCAAUAAAUUUUUUAGGCAGGACGAAAUUGAAUUGUAUACUAUUACGAUAACAAAAUUGUAAUUUCACCAUUUUAAUGGUCUAUACCUUAAUAAUUUUUAAAUGAUUAAAUUAAAAAUUUUCUUUUUAAUGAGUUAAAUUACAAUUUUACUAUAUAUUAAUUUAAACAUUAUAAUUAUAAAGAGACUAAAAAUGAAAAUUUUCAUUUUAGGUGUUGGGCUCUUACCAGCUUUCCUUUGACUCUAUUUUUGCUCUUCACUCUACUUGUGAAGUCUAAAAACUCUACACUGUAUCAAAUAUUUUUCUAUUAAUAUUAACAUAAAAAUUAAAUUAAAUUUUAUUAAUUUUAAAAAGGAAUAAAUCUCAAAAUUAUACAUGAACUUUAAUUUAAUGUAUAAUUGUAUACACGAACUUUAAUUUGGUGCAAUUAUACACGUGAAACUUUAAUUGUGGUUCAAAUGUAUACGUAAAACUUUAAUUUUGAUUUAAUCAUCAACAUUCAAAGAAAUAAAUACAUCAAUUUAUUUUUAUAUUGGAUAAAUAUAAUUAUUCAUGUAUGUAAUAUAUAAACAUAAAAUGAUGUUAUAUCAAUAAUUGUAUUAAUAAUUUACAAGAAUAUGUGAUCAAAUCAAAAUUUUAUAUAUAAAACUACACAAAAUUAAAAUUUAUGUAUAUAAUUAUAUAUUAAAUUAUAAUUUAUGUAUAAUUUUGAGAUUUUUCAUUUUAAAAAUUAAGUAUAAUUUAUGAUGUCCACAUAAAAUUCUAAUAAAACUUCUAUAUUACUAUUGACCUUUUGUCAAAAAUACCUUUUUAUUUUUUUAUUCUUUUUUUCUGUUUUAAAGCUGCAGUUCCAUAUAUUGAUGCAAUCAUACCAUGCAACUUUCACCUUUUCAUUUUCUUUAUUUUAAAAAAGUUUUAACAUAUACUUGAUUCAUAUGCAUAUUAUUAUUAGUAUAAAAAAAUAUAAGUUUAAAUAUAUUGAAAUAUAUUAUUUUUUUAGCUAUGAAUUAAUAAAAAUUACAAAUAAUUUUAGAUACUACAUUAAAAGAAAUAUAAUCAAAAUCUGUAACAAAAUAAAGGUAAGCUUUGUGUUGGGAAAGCCAAUAGCCCAUCCUUCAAGUUUGUGAGAUGCCAAAUCUCUAUUUAUUAUUAUUUUCCAUUUGAUUUGGUGGCCAAGCCUUAACCAAUGCCAAUGCUUAAACAGAUAAAACAGCAUUUGGUUAUGUAAAGCUAUAAACUAAUUAAUUCAAGUUUGAAGUUAACAAUUUUAUUUAAGUUAUAUAAUAUUUUUUUUAUUGCUAAAAAAAUAGUAUUUUUUUUAUGCUUAUCCAUAUAUCUUCUCUUACCUUGAAUUAGGGUUGAAUUGUAAUGAAUUUGCAGGAUUGGCUUGUAGGCUAAGUUUGUCUACAAGUUUGCUUUUCUGCACAAGUUAAGCUUGCGUAAUAUUCUAUAAACAGGUGGUUAAUCUAGAAUAGAAUAUGUGUUUAUAUGCAUGAAGCUUAAUUAGCUAAUAUGUGAUGUCAUUGAACAGUAUUCAUAUCAUAUAGAUAUUCUCUAAUACUAGAGAGAAAUAGAGAAAAACACUCAACAAAAUUAUAAUUUGAAAUAUUUUAAUAUAUUUAUAUCGUGUUUAUAUUAUUUGUGUUAUUCCAUAUUUUAUAUAUUAUACUUUCAACGUGUAAUGUAAAAUAUAUAUUAUAAUUUAAAAUUUUAACAAGAAUGCCUCUCAUCAAUUGAUUAAAAUAUGGGGGAAAUAACGAAAACAAAAUGAAAAAUGUGUUUGUAAUCUAUCUUGUCAAUUGAUGGUUUCAAAUGUUCUGGAACAAUCCAUUUUAUUAUGAAACUGUGAGACUGAUUUGUUAUCUUAGUUUAUAAGAAACCAGUCCAUUUAAUUCAUCUUUGAAUUUGAAGGUUUUAUUUGAUAUUAAAUAAAAAUAAAUAAAUUUUUAAACUUGUUCUAGAAAAGAAUUUUUGGAUAACAGCCUCGAAUUCAAAAUAAUUUUACUUUAAUAUUAAAAUCACAAAUUUUUAUAAAUACCAAUAAAAAAAAAUCAUGGAAUAAGAAGAUUAUUUAACUAUAAAAAUAAUUUAUUUAAAUAAAAUGUGGAAAUUCAAGAGUUUUUUAAUAUAUUAAAAAAAGGGUAAACUAUAAAAGUAGUCAAUUUUUUUUAUCUCAGAUUAUAUUUUAGUCACUUAUGUUUGAAAUGUGAAGUUUUAGUUUUGUUACGAAAUGGUUACUCUACCAUUAAGCUCUAUUACCUCCCUAACAAUGGUCCUAUGUAACAGUCCAAAUGGGUUUUAAAUGCCAAUUUAAAUGCCCUACAUUGCAAUCACAAAUUAAAUUUAUUUAAUUAAAAACUUAUUUUCAUCUCAGUAACUAAACAUCUAAGUUGACAUUUAAAACCCAUUUGGGUUGUCAAUAAGGAGGUAACGGUAGAGUGACUACUUCAUAACAAAACAGUAACGUAAGUAACUAAAAUGUAACGUUUCAAACAUGAGUGAUUAAAAUGUAAUCCGAAACAAAUAAAAGUGACUAGAAAUUAUUUAUGAAGUAAAAUUUGAAAUCUAAACUAUCAAAUCCAACUAAUUAAAAUGAAACAAAGAUGGUGGUAAUUCAUAUUUAAAUCCGACCAAUAAAUAAAAUAGUUCGAACCUUGGAUCCCAUAAAAUAAUAAUAAUCAUAAUAAAUAGAGGUCAAAAUCAAAGGAUGCCCCUAAGCCACUUAAUUCUGGUCGGUUCCAUAGAAAAUAGAUGGAAAUUGGGAUCUCUAGCUAUUAAUCAAGUCAUCUCCCCCCUAACCCACCCAACAUAACAUUAAAAAAAAAUGGCUGACAUGAUCCUUCAUAUUUGUCUUUAUUUAUUAAUAAAUCACUGUUGAAAAUCCCCAAAAGUGGCUCUUUUGAAUAAGUCCCCCAAAGGAAAUUGAAAUUGUACAAUAAUAUAUUCUUAAAUAAAUUUUUUAUUAUAAUUAAAAUAAAUGACUAAUUUAUUGUUUUUGUAAAAUUAUUUAUUUAAUUGAAGAUUAAAUUUUCUUACUUAGGACAACCCCCACACAACUAACAUGUUAGGGGGUCGCCCCUCUAUCUAUGCCACCAAUUCCCAAUAUUCUUCUAGUUUGACAUUUCAACCCUAAUUUUUUAUUUUUUAUUAUUUAUUAUUUAAAACAACCUGCCCAAAUAAAUAUUUUUUGUUAGAAAUUAUGACUAAUUCAAGAAAUUUCCUUUUUGGGACUUAUCUAACAUUAAUUAUUAAUGUACGUCCCCUUUUCAUAAAUACCGAGAACGAAAGAAAAGGAAACACUACUAAAAAUGGAAAAGGUGUAAUUUGUUUUCUGUCCUUAUACUUUUUAAACUUUUAAAAUUUAGUCCUUUUGUUUUUAUUUCGAGUAAUUUAGUCAUUUUACUUAUCUGAUUUUAGAAAAAAGUAUAAUCUAGUCGAUAGCAUUGUUAAUUGACUUGUGUUAAACAUGUAGCUUUAAAACUUAAUACCUUCGAAUAUACAACAUAUUUAAAUUUAAUAGAAAUGAUUAAAAAUGUUGCGAAUAGAAAAAUUAAAUUUCUAAAAAUAAAAGUUGGUACGCAAAAUGUAUAAAAAAAAACACUUUAAUGGUUAUUAAUUUUUCACAUCAUAUAAGUGAAAAAUACAUUUAAUUUUUAUUAAAGAAAAUAUCAGCCUUUAUCUAUAAAGAUUUAUCUAAUAAGAAAGCGACUUUUUUUAAGAAAUGGAUAUUUCCUUUUUUGAAAAAACGUGGUCGUGUUGCUUUAAAACAUUUAUAUCACAAAUGUAUUUUUUUUAAUGUUAGAUUUUUAAAAAUAAAUAAAUAAAUGGUAUUAUUUGGUUCACGAUGUUAUAAAUAAAUAUAAGGAUGUAUAAUGGAGAAAGAAAAUGAUUAAUGGCACAUGAAAAGUUAGCUUUGUAAGAAGAGUAAUCAAAAUUAAUUAUCGGGUUGGUAUGAUGGUUAGGGUAUUUAUCGUUUCAAGUGUAGUUUGAGUUCAAGUUGCAUUAGUCGUGUUAUUAUUAAGGCUUUGUCUUUCUUUUGUAAUUCGUAAAAGAAAAAGGUUUAAUGAUAAAUUUGGCCACUAAAAUUUACAUGUUUUGUAAAAAUGGCCCCUAAUUGUAUUUUUGAGCCUUUUUUUAUCAUCAACCUUUAUUCUUUUUUUUCAAUCUGCUUUUUUUAACAGAUUUAAUGAAUAAAUUUUAAGUUGCAAUUUUUAUUUUCCUUCCAAAGGUUUCAAUAUUUUAUAUGUUUGUUUAUUGGGAAGUUUUUCUACUAAAUUAAUUUUUUUAGAUAAUUAUGUUUAUUCUCUUUAAAUUAAGAGUUUUUUUUAAUUUAAUAUAUUAUUUAUUUAUUUAUUUAUUAUUUUUCACAUGUAAUUAUCUUUUUGGCUUAUCUAAAUAAUAAAUUACAUCUCAUUAAAAAUAUUCUACAUAUGAAAUUCUAAAUCAUCCCCGUUAAUUUUUGUAUACUUUUAUUAAAUCUGUUAGAAAAAAACAUAUUGAAAUAAAAUGAGCAAAGGCAUGGCCAAAAAAGGCUUAAAAAUACAAUUAGGGUUAUUUUGACAAAACAUGAAAACGUUAGUGUUGGAUUGAACCAUGUGUGUUGACCUGAUGGCUAGGGUGUUUAUUACUUUAGGUGUAACCUGGGGUUGAGUCACGUUGCUGUUAGAGCUUUACUUUUUAUUUGUAAUUAAAUAAUAAUAAUUAUCUUUUUCCUACUAUAUUAUUUGUAUGUACAAUAAGUUAAAUAAUAUGAUAUUAUUAUGAAAAUAAUUGGGGAUGAUAAUGAAAUUAUGAGUUUUUUUUUCUUUUUUAUGUUUCAUCUAUUGGAAAUAAUGAGAUUGAGGUGAAUUUACUUUUUAGGUUUAAAUAUCAUUUAUGUUUCCAAAUAAUAUCUAAGCUGGCAAAUUGAUAGCCAUUCAUCAUGUAUUGGUAGUCAAGUUAAUUACAACAAUUAAUCUUAGCAUAAAUUACUUUGAAAAUUUGAACUUCUAACCACAAAAAUAAACUUAUUUCAAAGAUAAAUUAUUUAUUAUUUAUUUUAAAUUUGAAUAUUUGUAUGUAUAGAUAAAAAUAUGAAACUCAAAAAUAAAUCGAAAAAAGAAAAAAAAAACUUGCUUUUAAAAAUAAGUAUGGGUUAAGAUAAUAUUUUUAUAUAAUUAAAUUAAUUGUGAAUAUUUGAUGUAUAAUUAGCAUAAAAGUUUCAUGCACCAAUAAUAAAUAACAAUAUGAAAUUUCAUUAUUGGUGAAAUAAAAUUAGAUAUAAAUACCAAAAUUAUACAUGAACUUCGAUCUAAUAUGUAAUGUCAUACAUGAACUUUGAUUUGUGCAAUUUUAUGUAUUAAAUUUUGACUUGAUUCAAUUUUCAGAAAUCACUAACGACAUUCUCAAAUUAGCACUAUUUCAUGUUGAUAUAUUAUAUAUAAAAACAAUUAUAUUAAUCCGAUAUGAAAAUGAAUGUAUGUAUUUCUUUCUUUAAAUGUAUACAAUCAAAUCAAAAUCAAAGUUUCAUAUAUAUAUAUAUAUAAACUACAAUUCAAAAUUUAAGUGCAUAAUUACACCAAAUUAAAGUUUAUAUAUAAAAUUGAAUAUUAAAAUGAAGUUCAAGUAUAAAUUUAAUAUUUAUCUCUAGAAAAUAGUAAAACACUUAUAAAUAAAUACUAAUAACUUUUUAAAUAUAUAUAUAUAAACUCUAAAACAAAAUCCCUAUGUAGAACUCAACUCCUAAACAAAAAAAAAACCCAAAAAUAAUAUAAUAACUUAAUUAUACUUAAAUAAAAUUAUUAACAUUUAUUUGUAAGUCCUAAACUAUUUUUUAUUUUAUCCAAUGAUAAUAUAUCAAUAAUGAUACAUAAAACUCAUGUAAUGACCGUGCAUUAAAUAUCAUAUAAUUUCUAUCCUUUUUUUAUACAUAUUUUAAAUAAGGGUGUUUAAUCGGUUAACUGAAUUGAACUAGCAUUAAGUGAACAUUUUAAACUCUUAACCAUUAACCAAACUGAAAUUUUCUUAAAACAAAUUAACCAAACCGAACUAUUUCGGUUAAUUCAAAAAAUUUUGUAUUUUUUUUGUUAAAACAAGUAUAAAGAAUAUCAAAAAAAUAAAUUGAUAAUGUUCAUUUAACCGAAUUAAUCAAAUUAAAAUUAACCGAAUUAACUAAAAUUAGCUGAAAUGAACCAAAAUUAACUGAAUUGGUAAUAUAUAAUAUUGGUUUUUUGAAAGUUUAGUUAAUUCGGUUAAUUAUUCGAUUUCGAACUGAAUUAAUCGAUAACUAAACUUUCAAACAACUAUUAACCGAUUUCUGACCGAAUUAAUUCGUUUAAUUGAUCGAUUAACUAAAUUAAUUCGAUUUAAUCGAUUAAUUUAAUUUUGACCGAAAUUUAAAAAUCUCUAAUUUUAAUUAUGCCUGCGCCUAAACAAUAAUAAUGACGCUUCGAUCCAAACCCAACUAUCAAUUAGCAUAUUCAUCAAAAUAUUAAUUUUUAUUAUUACUAUUAUUAUCAAAUGGGAAUGACUAAGAAAAUGUUUUAGGAAAUUUUUUAAAAUUUGAAAAUUUUCAAUUUCAUUUUAGAAAGUGAGAACUAAUUCUGUUUUGAGCAUCUUUUUCUAAGAAACCAUAUAAUCUAAAUUUACUUUAAAUAGAAUAUUGCCUAUUUAAGAAAAAAACAAUUUAUAAAAUUAUCCAUAAUUUUUAAAAAAAUCAUUAUGAAGACAAAUUUUAAAAAAACUUAAUAUUAAAAUGUUACUUUGUGAGGGUUUUUUUUUUACAUUAUUAUUUUUUUUAUUUACUAUUUAUUUAUAUAUUUUAUAAUUAUUUUAUUUUAUUUUAUUUUGUAAGUUUUGGUCAAACUCUCUAACUGCAGGUGAUACCAAAUUUUAGAUAUAAAUUAUAACGUAAAUAGUAAAAACCAUAAUUUUUAGUAUCUAAGGAAAUAUAAAAUUUAAUAUUAUGAAUUUAAAUAAUAAAAUCUGGAUUAAAUUUAAAUGAGAUUUAAUAUUGGUAAAUAAAAAUAAAAAUAAAAUGGAAAUAAUAAAUGAAAUACGAAAUGAGAUAUAGAUACUAUAUCUGCCACGCUUUAUAAGUGGGUCAUUCUCUUUUUUCCGUUUCCUCUUUCCAUAGAAAUCUGCAACAAAACCAAACGCGCAAAGCAAAGCCAAACAUACUGAAAAAGGACACAAAUAUAUAUAUAUAUACACACAGUUGCUUGCACGAUCUUCAACCCAAAACGACCUUUUUCUGAGCUUCCAUACUAAACACUUUAACCCCUUCUUCUAUUUCGUAUUUCUUUAGUUGCCUUAGUUUUCUGGUUAAGCAGAGACUUAUUUAAUACUUGGACGUAAUAUAAAAGAAAGGUACUUCUUCUCCUUGCUUUUUGUUAUCCAUUUUCUUUCUUUUUUCGGUAUUUCCUUACAUUUAAAAGGUUUCUUUUUUUUCUUGGGGGGGGGGUUGAGAGAAAAUGUUAUGUGGGUUUUGGUUUUUGGGUGGUUUGGAAAUGUGGUACUGGAGAUGGAUUUGGAGUGAAAAUCGAGUUUUUCUCCUGCUUUGCUUUGGAAGUUUCUUGUUUUAUUUGUUUUGAAUUAUAUGGAUUUUCCUUUUCUUGUUCACUUUUUUUUCUGGUAAAAGUUGCUUUAUUAUCGAACUCUUGAAUUGUUUCAUAAAAAAAAUUGUUUUAGUUGCGAUUUUAAUGAGAUUUAUUGAUGGAAGCUUAGUUUUUAUGUUUCUUUUUGGUAUGAAUUUGAGGUGAGACAUAGUCUUCAUUGAUGGAUUAUUGAUCAGUUUCUAAGGUUGGUAGAUUAGAGAAUGAUUCAACCCUUUCUUUUAUUGCUUUGCCUAAAUUGCUUGUUGAUGUAAUCCCCCAAAGAAAUUGUUAACCUAAUGAGUUUGCUUUUGUAUUCGUUCAUAUAGUUAUUAACUGUUUGAUUGAACAGUAAACCUUGUGGUACUGUAUACUUGAUGCUUUGUUUUUUUUUUCAGAAAUUUUCCAUUUUGAUUGUACAUUAAACAAAAAGAAAUUUAAGAAACACUACUUGGCUGUUUAUUGUAUUGAUCGAAAAAUGCUUUAAUUGUUACGGUUGAAUCAAACUGGAUAUGCCAAAUGAUUCUUUAUUUUUUUUUUAUGACAUUUCUAGAACAAGAAUGUAUGAUGAAAUCAAACUCAAUUGUUUAUAUAUGAAAUGGUUGUAUUUAUCUCUUCCUUUUUUUUGUCCUUGUUCUUGUAUUCUUUCUAGUUCAUGCCGAUUUUUGUCUCUCGAAGUUUACUUCGAGAUUAAUUCGAUCAUAGGAACUAGCUCCUAGUGGCCUUUAAUCUUUUAUGUCUUGUUCUCCGGGUAGACAGGUUUUGGUAAUCGCUUGAGCCUAAUGAUAUUCAGUAUAAUAGCAGAAUAGAGCUAGAUUGGUUCUUUUAUAUGCUUCAUUCAUCUAGCAGUCCUUUUAAUGUAUUUAAUCUAGUUGAAAACGGACUAAUAUAGUUUUGUUUGGUUUUCAGGAUUAUCUGUUUUCUCAACUUUGAUUCUCUUCUACAUAUCUGAUGGCUGAGGAGAGUAUUGGUUCACCGGUGACACUAGAUAUUUCUGGGUCAGAUGGGGGCAAUUUGAGAAGAAACUCCUUGGCAGUGGCAGAUUCGGUGAGCAGCAGAGAAAAAACUCUUCCUCGUUAUCUGAGAGCUUCUACCGGCUCCUGUCAUGAUUUCUGCAAAUAUGGAAAGAAGCAUGAAUCUGAAGAGAUCGCUAGACAUCCUUUCCGGAAGAGGAUUGUGGAAAAGCUGUGUGAUGAGCCAAAUUUAUUUCGGAGCUUAGACUUAGUGCAGAGGAAGCAGACAUCCACAAGUAAAUCCAAAUCUUUUCCCAAUUUCCGAUCUCAUACCCCUGAUAUGCCUGACACUAUCAAGCUUCAGUUGCCCACUUGCUCUCCUGAUGGAAAUAAUUCUAGGAUACAUGGUGUUCAGUUGAAGAAAGAAAAGACAUCAGCUGCAAAGCUUAAGUCCAAACAUCCACCCAAUUCUCGUAGUCGUCACAAAAGCUCUGAUGUUGUCACGCCUGAAGUGUCAACAAACUCUUCCAACAGCCAAAUUCCUAGGAAUGAUGAAGUACUGUUGGAGGAAAAAAAGACAUCAAUUGCAAAGCUCAGAUCUUCACCCAAUUUGAAAUCCCACUCAUCCGAUGCCUCGAAAGUCAUGCAGAAGGGUGGAUCAACAUCCUCUAAGAAAGUAGGAGUCUCUUCGAAAGAAGUCUCAUCGAAACCUAAUGACAAAAACUUUUCUAAAGCACUUAGUACUUCUUCGAAGCCGAAAUCUCAGGUAGAAAAGCUUCCUUUGGCUUCUGUCCCUUCAGGAGCUUCAAGUGUUAAGAGAAACAGUGGAAGUAGUGAUACAAAGAUGAGGAAGAGGACUGUGACCUCCAAAGUAGCUGUAAAGAAAGCAUUGGCAUCGCCAAGAGCCUCAUUGUCUCCAAGAGCUUCUCUUGCUAGAGCUACAAGUCUAACUGCAAGGAAGAACCUAAACUUAAAAGUUGUGCCUCUACAGAAGAAUCAGAACAAAGUUGAAAAGGCUGAAUCAGAGCAACCUCCUGAUGAACAAAAGGUACGCAAUAACGACGCACUUGAAGAGAAAACCCUGUAUGUGAUCAAGAUGGAGACAGAAAAUAUGUUGUUGGAAUCUGAUAAAAAUGAAAAUUGUGCUGCUGAAUUGCCUCCACCUGUUGCUUCAUCUCCCAAGUCAUCCUCCCUUACAAUGUCUCCACCUUUGUCAUCACAUGGUGGGAGAGAUGAAGACGAGUCUGAGUAUACAGAGGAUGACUCAGACUCUGAAUAUUAUGAAGAUGAUGAAGAUGAAACUGUAAAUACUGAAGAAGUAGAACAUUUGGAACGAGAAAAUGGCGGAAGGUCCAGAAAGGGUAGGAUGGUAUUCUCCGAAGAAAAGGAUAGCCGGCCUGUGAAAUUAUCUUUUAGGAGAGGAAAGGUUGUUGACAUUCAGACCGAGAAUAAUGGUCCAAGGAGGCUCAAGUUCAGGCGAGGAAGAUUACUUGGGGUCAACCAAAAUAUUAAGGCUGAGCGGAGAACCUUUAGGACAAGAGAAGUUGAUGGCGACAUGAAUGACAAUGAACCUUGUGGGGAAAAAGUUGUUUUGAGACACCAGGAUUUGCAGGGAAAGAAAGAUGAAAAGGGUUUGUUUAACAAUGUCAUUGAAGAAACUGCUAGUAAACUCGUUGAAACCCGGAAAAGUAAGGUUAAGGCCUUGGUUGGUGCAUUUGAAACUGUCAUCUCCCUCCAAGACGGCAAACCUUCAUCAAACACCGUCACUUGAGUUGCGAAGAACAUCUCUAAUAACUGUAGGCUUACAGGGAAGAGGGGGUAGGAGAAUAAACCUAAGCUUUUGAGAGGUUACUCCUAGUUUACACAGCUAUUGAAGUUUGAAAGUAGAUUUUUACUGUUUUGACUUCAAAACUCCUGGGUCUUGAUUCGAACGCGAGAUUCCGUGUGUACUGAUUUUGACAUACUUCACAUACAGUCUUGCCAAGGGUGUGCUCUACGAAUGAUUUUCUAUCAUGUGAAUAAAGCAAUAUAUACUCAUGACUUCCAUUUACUGUUAGGAGAUAAUGUGGAUGCCUGAUAACUCAGAUUUACGUAGUUGUGUCUUUGUUUUUCGUGGUUCAUUUUGUGCUAUUUUUUCUAUUCUAGAAAUGUCAUGACUGAUUCUGUUUUUGGUUGGUUUAUCAUAAGUGUGUGCAUUGUUGUAUAUUCUAUUCCAAAGUAUCCUUGAAACAUGUAAGGUAUAUAUUUAUAUUCUAUACUUGUACUUGAAUCCUACCAACAUAUUUUCAUUCUCUUUGAAAGCCAUACAAUUUCGUUGAGGACACUUUUUUAUUCUAUCUUUUAUUUGAUGAAUCGAAAAUAAUGACCUCAUCAUCAAUUAUUAGAGAUAAUAUAUUAAUCAUCUUUGAGGUUUCAGGUUUGAGUCUCGCAUUAUGUAAAAUAUGCGGCUUGUUAGUUAUUCAGUUUAAUUAUUGAAUUAAUUAUUUAAUUUAGUGUUUGGAAGAAUUGAAUAUUUUGGAAUUGUUAUAACUUCAAAAAAAAAAUUGAAUAUUAACUCAAUAAUUGUAGCUGGCUGCUAUUAUUAUUAUUGUUGUAAAAAUUUGGCCACACAUUAGGUAAUACCUCAAUCUUGACCAAAUCGUUAGGUCCGAGAUAUGAGAUGACACAUUCGUUGCCGUAGUAAUUAUAAUUUUGUUUCAAUAUUCAUUGAGAUAAAUAAUACAACAAUUAAGUUAUAAAACUUUUGAAAACAUUGUUUAUUCAAAUCCAGGUUAUAAGUAUGCUUACAAAAGCUCUCAUGAUAUUCCGGUAACAAGUGAAGGACUAAAUUGUAAAAAUAAUCAAAACAGGAGGUGCGGCUGCAACAUGAAAAUAUGGAUGUCGUGAUACCAAAUGUAGUAACAAGAUGUCACGACUUCAUUUGAAGUGAGUCGCAACCAGGAAGAUAGGAUGUUGAUGUCGCAACUUCAAUAAGGGUGUUAGAGUUGUGUGACUCAAAUUCAUGUUAAAGAAAUCAAAUACAAUGACAAAAUAGGAGGAUCUGUGGGGGCAAAGGCCGAGGGCCGAAGUACACUUCUUUUAUUUGAAAUUGAUUGUACAAGUAGAAUCCGUAUAGAACUUCUCUCCUUCUAUUUGAUAUUGAUUAGAAUAGGUUUUCAACCUAUAAAUGGAAGUAGUCGAAACUCCUCUUGCAUCAUUUGAAUUUUCUUUUCUUUUGCCCGUAUUUUUUUCCCGAAAGGGUUUCCACGUAAAAUCUGUGUGUUCUUAUUUUUCCUUUCUUAUUGCUUUGCGAUCGUUUUAUAUUGCCAUUAUCGGUGUUCAGUAUUUACAAAGGGAAAGUCGUGACCUUGAAGACAGAUAGCUCAAUGUCACAACACUAAAAAAAUGCAAGUUGCGGCACUGAAGUCAAUUAAUUUCUAAUGCCGUAACUUUACCAAGGAAUGUUGCAACCAAGAGAUCAGAAACUUAUUGUCACAACUUCGGGAGGGGAAAGUCGCGACUUUUGGAAUAAUUUACUCAAAAAGGCCUUGUUUCAAACAAGAUUAGUAGGCACCAAUCUCAUUUGAUCCAAAAAUGACCCUAAGCAUCACCUUAAUCAUUCACAUUCUUGUUAAGUAAAAACUAAUCAUGCAAUUAAUUAGUUACCACAUAUCAUAUAAGCCUAACCCAUAAGUUUAAACAUAUUAGAGGGUCAUAACUAUAAUUUAAUAUAAAAUAAUUUAUAUUUAACACGAAAAAUUCAUAAUUGUUUAAAAAAUGAUUUUUAAUCGAAUUUCUUCAUUAGUAAAAGAAAUAAUUUCAAUAAUAUAAUUAUUUUAAUAAAUAUAUAUUAAAAUUUUAAUAAACCAUCAUAUAAAUAAUUAUAAUAUAAAUAAUAUUUUUAACUAUUUUAAAAGAGUUAUUUUAGGAUUCAAAAUUUUUGGAUAGACUUGAAAGUUUAAAAAAAGUUAAAAGGUCAAAUUUCAUAGUUAGACCAACCGUUUGAUUCAUUGGACUUUAUGCAAUGGUCCCAAGUUCAAAGUGAGAAAUUUGGACCAUCCACUUCAUUGAAUUCAUUAAGAACUGAAAAAUUAAUAUGCAUAUAAUGAAUUAUUAGUAUGUAAAAUUUUAUACAAAUUUAUAAUAUUUUAAGCAGAUGAAAAAUAUCGUGAAUACAAAAAAAAUUCCCAAUGACUUAAGCAUUUUCUCCCUACUUAUAUCUCAAUGACCAAAUUUGUAACAUCUCUUACCUAUCUUGACCAUUGGGUCUGAGAUACUGUGUAACUUCCCAACCCGUAUCUCUCGUUGGAACAGGAUUAUGGAGCAUUACUGGAGUUUAUAAAUCAAACAGAUAGAAAAUUCAAACAUUUCAUAUUAUCAAAACAAGUCAUCAAAGCAUCAUUUUAAUCUAAAUUAUAAAUAUAUCAAAUCCAAAUCAAUUUUGCCUAGUUCAUGAGCACUUAAACAGAGAAUUAAAUACACAUGCACCUAUCUAGAUUUAGUUCAAUUUACCAUGCCAUAAUAUGGCUUAAAAAACAAACACAUAUUUAUAUGUAUAAAACAAACCAAAAUUAAACUUAUAACCUCAUUUACAAUCAAACCAGAAAAUAACUAUUAUUUAGACACCCUAGGUACAUGCCAACACAAAAGAUAAACAUCACCACAUUUGAGUUCGGGAUUGUUGUUGGAUGAUGAAUCGAUGAUCAAAAGUUAAGUACCUAACCUUCGUACGGAAAACAAAACCAUACGCUGAGUAUAAACUCAGUGGUAUUUCUAUAAUUCAAAUAUUUAAAGAUAAGAAAUUUCAAAUAUGCUAUUGACAUAUAAACACAUAUUAAUAUUUAAUUAUUUCAACAACCAUAUCAUAUUUCAUUUGUUUCACAAAUAUCUCAAUUCUCAUACUUGCUAUAUAAAUAGCUUUUCACAAUUUAUUUCACAUUUCAUUAUACAUUUGCAUUAGUCAUUCCAUAUUCAUUUCAUGAGUAUAUAACUCAUAUAUUCCAUAUAUUUGCAAACAUAUUUCACAUUCUAUUUUCAAUUCACUAUUUCACUUCCAUUUAUCAUACAAUGCCAUUUCAAUAUAAAUUAUAAAUCUUUAUUAUUCAUUUACCCCUAUUAACAUGGCUCGGACUCGAACAGAUACCCGGAUCCAACUAAAACACACCAGUUUGGCACUCAGUGCCUUAUCGGAUAAUUUGAAGUACUAAUUUGACACUCAGUGUCUCAUCGGCUAAACCAAAAUAAAUUGGCACCUAGUGCCUCAUCGAAUAUAUUCGAAGUAAUAAAUUGACACCCAGUGUCUCAUCGACUCGAAGUCGAAGAAAUCCCUGAACUCUUCCAAUCUUAUGGCAUGCCAUCUAUAUCCGACUCAGCCCAAUACAGUUAAUAGGGUUUAAUUUCACUUUACAAAUACAACCAAUAUUCAUUUCAAUUCAAAUAAUUAAUAUAUUCAAUAUAUAUACCAAUUUAAUCAAUAUAAAUUCAAUAAAUUCAUCACAUAUUAAAUCAAUCCAUUUCAAUUGCAAAACACAAUAAUUCUCACCUCAACACUUACCAUGUACAUUAAAUUAAAUUAAAACAAUUAACAGCUAAAUUCAGAUUAUAGAAAUACAAACUAGAAAUUCGGAUUAUAACAAUUAACAACUAAAUUCGGAUUAAAUAAUAUUAUAAUAUUAUAAUAUACAUUUUAACUUUAAGUUUUAUAAAUAUCUAUCGCCUUAUUUAAGAACAAUGGCAUAAUUGCUCCUUUAGUCCCUUUAAUUUUUCUUUAAUUUAUAAUUAAACUUUUACCCUAUAUGCAAUUAAGUCCUUAUACCUAAUUACUCUUAAUUAAUGCAAAUUCACUUAACCAGAACUUAAUUAACUACACAACUUUACGAGUCUGAUUUACGGGAACGGAGUCCCGGGAAUGCACUUUUUUUUAAUUUGGUCAUUUUUAAUUAAUUAACUAUCGAGACGUUAAAAUUUCUUAACGAAACUUUAAUAACACCUUAAUGACACUCCGUAAAUAUUUAUAAAAAUAUUUACAACUCAGUUUAUAAAAACAAGGUCCCAAAAUCACUAUUUUCGACACCAUUGAAAAACAGGCUGUUAUAUACAAGAUGUCACAUUUGUCGCCGGAGUAACUACCAUCAAAUACAUCGCAAAUAAAUCAUUCAAACAAUCAAUCAUAUCAUAAACAUAUUAAUAUUAUGAUUCACAAUUAAAUCUGAGACUUAAUCGAGCUUACGAAAGCUCUUUUGUUGACCCAAGCAUGAAAUAGGACCAAAUUGAAAAAAUUUAAAAAUUCAGAAUCGAUGUCAUAACGUCACCUCCUCCAUGUCGUGAUGUUGCCAAACAGUCUAUCACGUUGUGACUUCAUGCCAUUUGACGUUGCGAUGUGAUUCACUGUCGGUCGACAUUGCGACGAGGAAGGUUACUCGUCGGGACAAGGACUCUAUUUUUGGUAAAAAUGAACCAUUUGGUACUUUUUUCAGUACUUCCAAACUAUUUCAUCAAAUUGUGCACAAAUGGCUAACUUCACCUGCACAAAAACACUCCAUACAUACCAUUCAAGUACAAAUAACCAUAUUUAACUUCAUAUUAACUUACAUCACCUAAUCAAGCAUUAGAUAUAACAUUUCCUUACCUUAGCAUACGUAGCAAACAAUUGUCUAAAUACCAACUUGUAAAUGCCAAUUCACAUCUAUUUAUGCCACUUCAUUUGCUACUACAUAACACAAACCAUUUACCAUAACAUACCAUUUCAAUUAGAUAUUCACAUUUUCAAAAUCAUGCAUUAGAUAAGUUUUCAAACUAUGUUUAACAUUCAUGGUUAACAUAUACAAAACACCUAUGCACAUGCCAUGAAACUGGACUUUAAAAAGAUUGAAAAACUACUAAAUCAAUAAAAAGAUAGUGUGAGCUUUUCAAUAAUUCGAUAGACACGUUUCGCAAAUUGACAAUCUACAAGGAAAAAGGGAGACAACAGAGUAAGCAGAUUGAAUGCUUAGUAAGUCAUUAUGAAAUUUACUUAACUUACUUUAACAUUACAACAAAUUAAACAUUUAAAUACAUUGUCAUUCUAUAUGGCAUCCCUUGACAUACUCAACAUAUCAUAUACAUAUCAACAAAUACAACCAAUAGGUUAGUUCACUUAUACAUCAAGAACUUAUAACACAAAACAUAUAUAUAUACAACAAUUCCAUUUAAUAUCAUAUACCAUCCCAUUCAUAUCCAAUUUGAAAGCAUAUGUAAUUCAAUUCAUGUUUAAAUCAUUUCAACAAUUUUAUUUCCAUUAGGUUACCAUUUUCACUCAAGAGAACCUUAGUAAAUCAACUUGGAUACAUAGGACUAUAUUGCUCAUACAAGCUGAUAGCGAUCAAGGUUGCUUACACAAGCUGACAUUUAUGAAUUUGCUCACAUAAGCUGACAUCAUAUCGAGGUUACCAAUCCAGGCUAAACCAAUGAUACAUAUAAACAAGAAUUCACAACAAAUGUUAGAUCUCAUAUAACUAUGUAAAUCCCUGAUCGUUUCCAUAUUUGACCCUAAUGACAUGCCAUAUCUUAAUCCUUUACUAAGUUCACACAGGUAUUAUUAAUGUAACCAUAACAUUUCAAUCCCUGUAACAAUAUAUACAUGUCAUACCAAUCUUAUAAACAUUCAAUUUCCAUUUGGUACCUAUUCAUAAAGAUCAUAUUUUUCAUACUUCGCAAUUUAGUCUAGUUGAUGCCAAAAUCACUAAAUUCACAUUUAUAUAAACUAAUAAGCAAAAAAAUAAUAAUAACAAUUCAAUUGUAACUUGAGACAAAACAAUAAGUUUCAUAUGAACUUACCUGGAAAAACAUCAAAUGAACAAGCCCUUAAGGACAAAUAAACAAUUUUGCCUUUUUUUUUAUUAUCUUCGAUUUGGUUCAAUUCUCGAUCUAUACAAUAAUUCAGUUUAAUUUAUCAAUUCCAGAUAUUUUAUAACAUCCUAUUAUAUGCAUGAAUCAAUCCAAUUUCAUUUUUCAAAUGCCCUUAAAGAUUAAUAUUUUAUUCGAUUUAGCCCCUAAAAUCGAAAUUGUUAUAAUUUUUAAUUUUGAGCUUCGGUUUCAAAACUGAUCUUAAUUUACAUCCUUUUAGGACCUUCUACUAUCAAUAAUUACAGAAAUUUCACAUCAAAUAUUCAAUUUAUACACUUUAGUCCUUUUUUACAAAACUAGCAAUUUACACUUUACAAUCUAGUCCUUUUUCACAUUUAAGCUUUAAAUUCUAUCAAUUUAACACUAAUUUCUUUAAGAAAUCGUCAAUGAUAACUUUCAAAAACUUUAACAGUUUUACAAAUCAAUACAUGAGCUAGCUAAAUCAAACUCCUACAACCUAAAAAACAUAAAUUUACAAGAAAAAGACUUGAAAAUUUACCAAUUUGAUGGACCAAAUGUUUAAAGCUCAAAACCCUUUUUUAUUUUGUUUUAAGCUCACGAACAGUGGAAAAGAUGAACUUAUGACAAUUCUCCACCAUUUUAUCUUUUAUACCAUAAUUAAUACCUUAACCAUUUAAUUAAAUUAACUUAAUCUUUCAUUAACAAUUAUAAGUGGAUUCUAUCAUCAUAUUCUACGAUCUAUUAAUAAGAAUUGGUUUAAUUACCAAUUUGGUCCUUUAACUAAUUAAAAAUCUAUAAUGAUAAGACUUUUACAAUUAAGUCCCUAUACCUUAAUUAACUAGUGAUUUGACAAAAUUGUUAGACCAAACUUUAAUAAACUUGUAUACUAUCCUCGUAAAUUAUUUAAUAUUUACGGACUCGAAUUUGAAAAUGGAGUUACAAAAUCACAGUUUCGACACUACUGAAAAUUGGGUUGUUACAAAAUUAAUCAUAAUAUUUUUUUUACUUAAUUAUUGAAAGAAAAUAUGCAGCUCUAACCAUUUUUAUGAGGAAAGCUAAAGAUGAGGAAGAAAUAAAACUGAAAAAGAAAGAAAUUGAAUUAUGAUUCAUUAACUGAUCAACUUCGUUUUAACUAUAUACAAUUAUAACUAUAUAUACUUAUCUACUAAUAGAACAUACAAGGUUGUUAUCUAAAAUCCGAUUUGUGUUUGUUAUAUGAGUGUAGACAAGGAAAACAAAAGUAGCCAAAAACCUUAAAUAACAAGUAAUUAGGUUUCUUGUUUUGAAGUUUCUUAUAUGGAAACAAACCUUGAUGUACUAUAGAAGGGAUCAAACAAAAAAUAGAAUAGAAGAGAAGUUUAAGCAUAGAGAGUUAACCCAAGAUUCAUUAUGUUUCUAUGCUUAAGCUCAACUAUCCCAUUUUGUUGGAAUGUAUAUGGACAAGAUACAUGAUGUCUUGCCACAACUUACAAGUACAUGAAACAAACCUUUCUAUUCAUCGCCCCAAUCAUUGUGUACUUCAAAAGUCUUGCAUCCCAAUCAUUGUCCUUUAAGCCAAUGUAGCAUUGAACUUAGCCUUUAAGUGGAGGAGGAUUUCGAAUGUAGGGGACUAUCAUUGUGCAUGUUAUAGUUGUUAGGAUAAAGCUAAGGAUAACCAAGUGACAAUUGAUUAUAAACAUAUGUCUUGGUAUAGUGUUUUGGUUUUGGGACAUAUAUUCUAAUUUCUUUAUUAAAAUUCUCUAAUUAAUAGUUAUAUUAUUACUUUUAAGAAUGAAACUUCUUUUAUUUGUACAAGGACAUAUUAUUUUACAUGUAACAACACUUGUACACACCAUGCCACUAAGUUAUAAUAAAUACCCUCUAUUACGAUUAACUUUUGGUUAGAAGUCAAAUAUUUACCAAUUUAGAAUUUUUAGAUAUGUUGUAAAUGUUCAAAUUGUUUUACCACAACAAAAUAGGUAUUCAAAAAAAAAGUAUGAAAUAUAUAUAGGGUAUCAUUCUACUCCUAUUAUUAAAUAUUUUGAAAUAAUUAGAGAUUCAGUUCUAAUAUAAUUAUUAUUUUGAUUAGAUUGUUUUCCUAACAUGAAAGGAGAAAGGAUAAACAGAUGAAUGGGUAAAUUACUUAAAAUGAACUAUUAUUAACAAGAUCAUUAUACAAAGUAAUGUGAAUUACAAGUGUAAAAGAUAGUUCAUUUUAUUGCAAAACAACUGUUAGAAGUAUUUACUGGUCUAAUGAGGGUAAUCAAGUCUCACGUACUUGCUAAAAAAACUUUGAAUUUAAAUUGAUGUCCUAAUAAAAAAAACCUAUUAGGGAGAAUAAAAGUACAUGCCUAAAGCAUGGUAGAUAAAUUUGUUCCAAAUAUAAAAAUUCUCAUAAAAGUUAAGUGGUAAAAUAAUCAAUAUGUUCAUGGAAAAGAGUGCUAUUGAAGAGACUCAAGACAUAACUAAUUAUAAAACUCUAAAAGAGAUUCAUGUACAUGAAAAUAAAAAUAAAAAUGAAAAGAUCUUAAUAAGUUACGUCAUUACAAGAAAAAAAGGAAAUUUGAAAUGAAAAAGUUGUUGACAACAUUUUUGCGUACAAUGUUAUUGUUGAAAUAAUAAAAGAAAUUGAGGAUGUUGAAUAUAAAUUUAUUAAGGAAUAUAGACAUCAAAAUGAUUGACCAAAAUGGAAAGACAUAAUUUAAUGUGAAGUUUUUGAACUAAUAGUCAAACACAUAAUAUGUAAAUCCAGUGGGGUACAUAUUGUUAGUUUUAUAAAAAUAAAAUAAGAAAACUAAAGUUUUAAUAUAUAAAGUACAACUAUAAAAUCAGGAUUUUUGCAAAGUAUUGACAUUGAUUAUGAAAAUAUAUAAUAUUAUUUUGUAGCGGAUGCAAUCAUAUUUAGAUAUCUUAUUAAUCUAGCAACUCAUGAAAAACAAAAUAAACAUGCGUCUAAUGGUUGUUUUUACAACCUUUGAUAUGAAUUACUAUAUAACGAAAUUUAUAUUAAAAUCUUGAAGGAUUUACAAUGCUAGAACAUAUAGAAAUAUCAGGAAAAUGUUCAAAACAAUUGUGUAAAAGUUUAUACAUAUUGAACCAAUUGGGCAUAUUGAUAUAAUAGAUUGAAUGAAUGAUUGUUGAAAUAAUAUUAUAAAAUGAUUCAACGUGUCCAUAUGCUUUUAUAGAAAGAUCAAGAUCAGGGUUUAUUGUAAUUAUAUUUGUUUAGCUAAAUAUUGUUGAAACUUUUAAAGAGAUUACAUGAUAGUAUACCAUUCUAAGAAAGGACUUUGAAAAAACAAAAUAUCGUCUCGCCUUGCAAAUUAGACAUGUUUGAAUUUUUUGUCAAUAAAUUAACAUAUACCAAAAGGAUUUUAAAAUGAUCCAAUAUGUGUUAUAUUUGUAAAAUAAAUCUGAAAUAAAACUUAAUAAACCAUGAUCUAUCAUGUCAAAUCAUCAAGAAUAAAUCAAGAACAAAACUAGAUGCGAAAGCGUACCUCAAUCCAUGAAUUCCUUGAAGUUUUACCGAAUCUUGGGGAUUUGAUCUUUCAAAUUAGCACACAAGAAAUUCAGAGAAUAUCUGCUCUCUUUCCUAAUGAUGGGAUAUUAGAAAAGAUAUAUUGUGUAUAAUUUGGGGACCAUAACCCUAAUAUUUAUAACCUUGGCAUAUUAGUUCUAAUCAAAUACUAAUUAGCCCAUCAUUAAUCAGAAUUUGAUUAGAGUUUAAUUACUGGAGUAUCUACACAUAUUUGACCCAUACUUUAUUUAAUAAUUAAAGUCCAAUAAAAUUUUAACCAAAUUAGAUCACUUUUAAUUUGGGCUAACCUAUCAUGAUAGCAAAUAAUAACAUGUAAUUACCCUUAUUAUAUAUGUGAUGUCCAUAUUUU